rnacentral:tRNA from 1 species
UAGCUUAGUUGGUAAAGCACUCGUCUAGCAUACAAAAAUCGUGGGUUCGAAUCCCAC